rnacentral:piRNA from 1 species
UAAUAUAUUUUACUUUACAAU